UACGUAGGUGGCAAGCGUUGUCCGGAAUUAUUGGGCGUAAAGCGCGCGCAGGCGGCCUCUUAAGUCUGAUGUGAAAGCCCCCGGCUCAACCGGGGAGGGCCAUUGGAAACUGGGAGGCUUGAGUAUAGGAGAGAAGAGUGGAAUUCCACGUGUAGCGGUGAAAUGCGUAGAGAUGUGGAGGAACACCAGUGGCGAAGGCGACUCUUUGGCCUAUGAACUGACGCUGAGGCGCGAAAGCGUGGGGAGCAAACAGG
rnacentral:rRNA from 1 species